GCCUAAAGCGUCCGUAGCCGGCUAUGUUAGUUUUCGGUUAAAUCCAUGUGCUUAACACAUGGGCUGCCGAAAAUACUGUAUAGCUAGGGAGUGGGAGAGGUAGACGGUACUCAGGAGGAAGGGGUAAAAUCCUUUGAUCUCUUGAUGACCACCAGUGGCGAAGGCGGUCUACCAGAACACGUCCGACGGUGAGGGAUGAAAGCUGGGGGAGCAAACCGGAUUAGAUACCCGGGUAGUCCCAGCUGUAAACUAUGCAAACUCAGUGAUGCAUUGGCUUGUGACCAGUGCAGUGCCGCAGAGAAGUCGUUAAGUUUGCCGCCUGGGAAGUACGUACGCAAGUAUGAAACUUAAAGGAAUUGGCGGGGGAGCACCACAAGGGGUGAAGCCUGCGGUUCAAUUGGAGUCAACGCCAGAAAUCUUACCCGGAGAGACAGCAGAAUGAAGGUCAAGCUGAAGACUUUACCAGACAAGCUGAGAAGUGGUGCAUGGCCGUCGCCAGCUCGUGCCGUGAGGUGUCCUGUUAAGUCAGGUAACGAGCGAGAUCCCUGCCUCUAGUUGCCACCAUUGCUCUCAGGAGCAGUGGGGCGAAUUAGCGGGACUGCCGCAGUUAAUGCGGAGGAAGGAGGGGGCCACGGCAGGUCAGUAUGCCCCGAA
rnacentral:rRNA from 1 species